GACGAACGCUGGCGGCGUGCUUAACACAUGCAAGUCGAACGAAGUGGCGAACGGGUGAGUAACGCGUAAUCAACCUGCCCUUCAGAGGGGGACAACAGUUGGAAACGACUUCUAAUACCGCAUACUGAAGGAGGGGAUUGCGUCUGAUUAGCUGGUUGGAGGGGUAACGGCCCACCAAGGCGAUGAUCAGUAGCCGGUCUGAGAGGAGGAACGGCAACAUUGGGACUGAGACACGGCCCAGACUCCUACGGGAGGCAGCAGUGGGGAAUCGUCCGCAAUGGACGAAAGUCUGACAGAGCAACGCCGCGUGAGUGAUGACGGCCUGCGGGUUGUAAAGCUCUGUUAAUCGGGACGCGGUACCGGAAUAGAAAGCCACGGCUAACUACGUGCCAGCAGCCGCGGUAAAC
rnacentral:rRNA from 1 species